GCCUGUGUGGCUCAGUCAGUUGGGCGUCCGACUUCAGCUCCGGUCAUGAUCUCACAGUUUGUGGGUUCGAGCCCCACGUCAGGCU
rnacentral:tRNA from 1 species